UCGGGAAUCUUGCACAAUGGGCGAAAGCCUGAUGCAGCAACACCGUGUGAGCGAGGAAGGCCUUCGGGUCGUAAAGCUCUGUUGUUGGGGACGAAGGGCGAAGGGUUAAUAGCCCCUAGCCUGACGGUACCCUUCGAGGACGCCCCGGCUAACUACGUGCCAGCAGCCGCGGUAAUACGUAGGGGGCGAGCGUUGUCCGGAAUUAUUGGGCGUAAAGCGCGCGUAGGCGGCUUUUCAAGUCAGGGGUGAAAUCCCGGGGCUCAACCCCGGAACUGCCCUUGAAACUAGGUAGCUAGAAUACUGGAGAGGUGAGUGGAAUUCCGAGGGUAGAGGUGAAAUUCGUAGAUAUUCGGAAGAACACCAGUGGCGAAGGCGACUCACUGGACAGUUAUUGACGCUGAGGUGCGAAAGCGUGGGGAGCAGACAGGAUUAGAUACCCCCGUAGUCC
rnacentral:rRNA from 1 species